rnacentral:misc_RNA from 1 species
CCGAGUAAGUGGUCGCUAUUUUUAAUGGCACCAACUCCACCCUAGUGUUUACUAUAACUUGUUGUCUUUGGCAAAGCGUUUUUGCUUAAACCAUUGAUAGGGAUAAACCUAUGAAUGUGUCUUUGCCAAAGUAAUUACUACUCUUACUUUUUAAUGAUUGUCUGAGUUAUAAAGUAAAUUGAAUUA